rnacentral:lncRNA from 1 species
UCUCUCUCUCUCUCUCUCUCUCUCUCUCUCUCUCGUCCCCACUCUUCUGCAGUUUGUCCCUGGGAGAAUCCCAAACACCCACCAGAAAGCCAAUAAAUCCCAAUCGUCAGCACUACUCAAACGGUUGUCUGGAAAUUAAAUGUCACCCAGGAAGAACAUGGCUUGGAGAGCUCCUCACUCAGCAGGCAGAGGCCAGGGGCAGAGGAAGAGAGCUUCUGUGAGCACAGGCUGAAAGCUGCAUCCAAAAGCGGGUGCAGGGAAGGCAUUUGCUCCCCGCAACUCUUUAGGAGGCCCCUUGGAGAAACUGUGAAGAGGGUUUGGUUGGCUCCUUCCUUCUUCCUGCUUCCAUCUGUCCAGGCCUCAGACAAGCCCUGCCCAGAAAUAAACUGUAAGGACAAGGGGUCACAGCCAGCCGUGGACAUCCUGGCUUGCUGCAGAGAAGACUUCCAUGAAUCUUCAACAACGUAUGUUGUGGCAGUGGUAUAAUAUUGCCACCAACAGCCUCCGAGG